AGAAGCUGGUCAGUGUCAAAGCAGUUAUUCAUCAUUUUCAAAUUCCAGGAUGGUAAUAGGGGAAUGAGUACCAGACCUUGAAUCGGGAGCCUUGGAUUCAAAUUCUUCUGAUACUUACUCUCUGCGUGGGCAUGGGGUCCUGUGUAGUCCCCACCAGGCUUGUAGUGCAACCCUGAGCUUUGGACUCUCUCCAGAAGGAAAAGGAAAGCAGAGGAAUGAUUGACUGUCCUUUUCUCUCUUUGCUGGAGGUUGGGAAGUCUGCGUGGCCUUGUGUCCAUUGGGCCCAGUAGAGUUCAGGGAUCUUUCUAUUAUACCCCACUGUCUCCAGAUAAGAACUUUGGCCUGGAACUUUGCAAGAGGGGACUUUGGAGCAGACCAGAACCCUUGGGUUGGUGUCAUCAGAAUCCCGAUUUCCACAGUCACCUGUCAUUGGAGGAAUGGUCCUAGAGUGUCCUGGAGAGGCUCUGAAAUAAUGGCAUCCAAGCAUGGGUAGAAGAGUGUAACAAGAAUCAUGAAGCAGGAGUAAAAAAGGACAUUUUCAGAGAGGUGGAUGGUUGGAAAAGAAGGAAGCUGCUCAUGCUAGUAACUGCCAAUGGACAACCUGCAUACAAUGCUGGAAUCUGUAUGGUGUCAGCAGAACUAGAGGAAGUCUUGCAACACAUCAGGCUCACGGACUUAUCCAGGGAGACACGUUCUUGAGGAAAUCUUUGGACAUUUCUUUUCACUUCUCGCACACGUCUUCCUUGACCGAACCCCCCAGAUAUCCCUUACGUAUUAAAACAUUUUGGGGCAGUGGAAAGAAUACUGGAGUAAGUCAGGAUAUCUGGAUUCUGAUCCCAGAUCUGACUCUUACUUGGUUAUAUAUGUUCCAUAACUGUUUCUAGGACUCCAUUAGUACCAAAUUCUGGUCUACAGCUGCACCUUCACACAUCCAUGAUCCCAGCCCACUGGGCCCCUGACCCAGAGACCUAGGGUCACAACAUGGGGAAGACAGCAAUGCUGAAUGAAUCUGGGCCUUUGAAAGCAGCUCAGAUGCAUAUGGACACAUUCCUAAGGUGGAUUAUAGCACAUGGAAACUAAAUAAAACCAGGGAAAGGAAUUGGGGACCGGGACCUUGUCAGUUUCAAAAGGUCAGGAGAAUGAGUGUCCAGGAGUCCUGUACGGGAAUCCCAGUAUCCUACAAGGUAGUUGGCAUCCAGCUCAACAUCGAUACCCAGAGGAGUAAAGUGUGACCUUUGGGAGUGACAUUCAGAAUCCAGGCCAAUGGUGAUUGAGACAAGAACUCAUCUAGAAUCAUGCUGAAUCUGGAACUUGAUUGGAUCAAUGUUAUAUAGAAACUGAGUUAAGUUUGAGCCAACUCACCUCAGAGACUGAGGUGGGAUAGGGGAGAGUAUACUCCUGAGGUGUUGGGGAAAUAUUGGCACUUUUGUUAUUGUUACAUCUUCAAAAUAAAUAUCCCUUUCUAAAAGCUAAUUGAUGAUAAGUAGUUAAAUGGAACAAGGGCCUAGGUCAUUGAUGGCUAACAAGGAGGGGAAUAAAAUCGAUUGGGGGCUGAAGUUGAUAGAAUCGGAGGAAAGAUCCUCCCAACCCCUCGGGUUAUUCUAGAAACCUGAGGGACAAAUGUAAUAGCCUCUGGGAUUGCGGGCCAGAGCAAUGGUGUCAGACUCAAAUACAAACCAAUGCCAGCCAGUAGCAAUAUUGACUUAGAAAACCCCAAAUUAACAUUAUCUAUAUUUUAUUGCAUUUUUAUUUUGUUAAACAUUUCUCAAUUAUAUUUUAAUCUGGUUCUGGCUGCACUGAGUUUUGCAGGCCUCACAUGGCAGGGUCUCCUGCCUGAGUUUGACACAUCUGGGCUAAAGUGUGCUUUUCUUUGCAUAACUUCUGUUAGAAUCUAUUCUAUCUUAAAAUGUCUUAGCUCUCAUUGUUGCCUUCUUAAAAGAUUUUGGGCUGUGAUACCAUAAUAUGUGAAUUAACUGGGAUGAAGUAAGACUAUUACAUUUAAUGACAUAUAACAUUUCCCAUCUUUUAAAAGCUUAAUAUGUAAUAUGUCCUUGCUUUGCGAAAAAUCACUUGUUUUACAUGAGUAUGCAAGAUUUUGACAUGUCUUUAAUUCUUCAUUAUGAAACCAUAAGUCACAUUGGCUAUUAAAUAUACCU